AAACAAAAAAAAAAAAAAAAAAAAAAAAAAAAACCCAUCUCUGAAAGGCUCGGGCAUUCUGGUCAGGCGAGCGCCCAGCCGCGUCUGGAGGCCUCCCCGCUUCCUAAGAGGGGACAGGCCCGGAGGACCCGGCCGCCACCGGGGAACGCAGGCUGUCGGACGGUGCCUUCCUGGUGUUUGGGACCGAUUUGCCUUUUUUUCUCGGUUUUUAAUGGAGGGAAAAGCACGAGACGGGGAGGGAGGAUUACCUACGAUGACGCCCACAGGAGAGAGGGUCAUUACGACAUUUCUUUUUUUUAAAUUUUGAAAAGAGACAGAAGAGAAGUAAGUUCAGAAGGAAGUCCAGGCAAGCAGGACACAGAAGGAAGCACAGACAAGCAAGACAGUUUUGAAAUAAGGAAUGCUCAUUUUGGGGUGAAUUAAAAAUAAAAAACGAGGGGGAGGGGAGAAGAGAACAUCUAGCUGCUCUUGGAAAUUCAAGGCACCGGGCCCAGACCAACUGGAGAGCGGGCCCAGCGAGCCGCCGGCAGUGGUCCUCGAGAGAUCCAGAGCCGUGGCCCAAGACUGCGAAGGGCUUUCCCAAAAAAGGGAUGGGCGGGCUCUCCCGGCUCUUGGAGGCAUGGAGUGUUACUUUGGUUCAUUGGUAAAGAGAUGGUAAGAGAAGAGCCAGGAAGGGAAGGCGGGAGGCCGAGGGCAGCACGCCUUCCCUGGCCGGGACAGCCAACGCUCCCGGGAAGGGCAUUCAGGACCACGGCCAGGUCUCCAGGAGGGGCUUCACACGGGACGUCAAAGACAAAGACCCCCAACUGCUGCUCAGCACGGCAGACAGAGACCACAGAGACGGGCUCCAGAAAUGACCGAUGAGAUCCAGAGGGAUCGUAACAGGCCAGAGUUUGGGAUCAAACCUAAUUAAAUGAAGCUAAAGACAAAGUCUGACCCUUGGGUUUAAAAAAAAAAAAACAACUCUCAUCCCUUUGAGGUGGGGGAUGAGUCCCGGGCUGGCGUCAGAAGACCUAAGUUCAGACGCAGCCUCAGUCCCUCGCUAGCUGGGGGACACUGGGGGACAAGCCGCUUCUCCUCUGCUUACCUCAACAUCCUCAUCUGUACAAUGGGGAUUAAUAGCACCGACCUCCCGGGGUAAUUGUGAGGAUCAAAUGAGAUACUUGUAAAGUGCUCUUCAAACCUUAAAGUGCUCUACCGACGUAA